rnacentral:rRNA from 1 species
UCGGGAAUUUUGGACAAUGGGCGCAAGCCUGAUCCAGCCAUGCCGCGUGCAGGAUGAAGGCCUUCGGGUUGUAAACUGCUUUUGUACGGAACGAAAAGACUCUGGUUAAUACCUGGGGUCCAUGACGGUACCGUAAGAAUAAGCACCGGCUAACUACGUGCCAGCAGCCGCGGUAAUACGUAGGGUGCGAGCGUUAAUCGGAAUUACUGGGCGUAAAGCGUGCGCAGGCGGUUAUAUAAGACAGAUGUGAAAUCCCCGGGCUCAACCUGGGAACUGCAUUUGCGACUGUAUAGCUAGAGUACGGCAGAGGGGGAUGGAAUUCCGCGUGUAGCAGUGAAAUGCGUAGAUAUGCGGAGGAACACCGAUGGCGAAGGCAAUCCCCUGGGCCUGUACUGACGCUCAUGCACGAAAGCGUGGGGAGCAAACAGGAUUAGAUACCCACGUAGUCCCUGAGCGGGCUGGCAAGGCGCAU